GACGAACCGUGCGAACGUUGUUCGGAAUCACUGGGCUUAAAGGGCGCGUAGGCGGGCUGUCAAGUCUGGGGUGAAAUGCUGCGGCUCAACCGUAGAACUGCCUCAGAUACUGACGGCCUCGAGGAAGGUAGGGGCAUGCGGAACUGUAGGUGGAGCGGUGAAAUGCGUUGAUAUCCGGAGGAACACCGGUGGCGAAGGCGGCUUCCUGGACCGACACUGACGCUGAGGCGCGAAAGCUAGGGGAGCAAACGGG
rnacentral:rRNA from 1 species